CCCUUAGAUGUUCUGGGCCGCACGCGCGCUACACUGAUGCAUUCAGCGAUCCCAUCCUUGACCGACAGGUCCGGGUAAUCUUUGAAUCUGCAUCGUGACGGGGAUAGAUUAUUGCAAUUAUUAAUCUUCAACGAGGAAUGCCUAGUAGGCGCAAGUCAUCAGCUUGCGUCGAUUACGUCCCUGCCCUUUGUACACACCGCCCGUCGCUCCUACCGAUUGGGUGUGCUGGUGAAAUGUUCGGAUCGGCCGUUUGUCGCGGUUUCCGCGUCAUGUGGCUGAGAAGUUCAUUAAACCCUCCCACCUAGAGGAAGGAGAAGUCGUAACA
rnacentral:rRNA from 1 species